rnacentral:rRNA from 1 species
AGUGAACGCUGGCGGUAGGCCUAACACAUGCAAGUCGAACGGCAGCACAGUAAGAGCUUGCUCUUACGGGUGGCGAGUGGCGGACGGGUGAGGAAUACAUCGGAAUCUACUUUUUCGUGGGGGAUAACGUGGGGAAACUUACGCUAAUACCGCAUAUGACCUACGGGUGAAAGCAGUGGAUCUUCGCACCUUGCGCGAUUGAAUGAGCCGAUGUCGGAUUAGCUAGUUGGCUGGGUAAGGGCCCACCAAGGCGACGAUCCGUAGCUGGUCUGAGAGGAUGAUCAGCCACACUGGAACUGAGACACGGUCCAGACUCCUACGGGAGGCAGCAGUGGGGAAUAUUGGACAAUGGGCGCAAGCCUGAUCCAGCCAUACCGCGUGGGUGAAGAAGGCCUUCGGGUUGUAAAGCCCUUUUGUUGGGAAAGAAAAGCAGUAGGUUAAUACCCCGCUGUUCUGACGGUACCCAAAGAAUAAGCACCGGCUAACUUCGUG